GCUUUGCGAAGCUAACUUAGCAUCGGUCUUGUAAACCGAAGACAAGAUAUAAACCUCUCCAAAGCU
rnacentral:tRNA from 1 species